UAUUCUGUGGACUGGAUGCAGAGCGUGAUGAGUCAUGCGGUGACCAGUGAGCGACUCAGGUGUAGGAUUUAUUGUGUGAAAGCUAAGUUGAAGAAGUUAGUUUUGUAGUUAGUUCUGAGAAUAGCAAGAUUCAUGGCCAUUUUUAUCUCUACAGGAGUGGGUUCCAGCAUCGAGGUCGGGCUAGAAUAUGUAUUCUAUCUCCUGUAUUCACGAGCCUUCCCACUGGAGGAUGCUUUGUUCUGGUGGAAUGUAGCCACAGUUACAGAGGGAGAGGUGACCUCUCAGGCAGAUUCACUGGGGGGCCACCAUGAGGAGAGUAGAGCACCAAGAUGAUGUGUUAAAGGGAACCCGUGUUGCUAAGCAGAUGGCCUGCUACAUUCCAUAAAAAUAGGAGCUUUGUCAGAAUGUAGCUUCAUUCUGCAUUGUGACAGAGUGCUGAGGCCUGACACUCUGACCACUGUACCCUCAAUUAGCUUCCCCAAUGAUGGCUGAUUGAGCAAUUAGCUAAUCAGAAGGAGAGGCUGGGGGAAGACUAAAGAAAACAACAAAGAACAAAUAUUCCAUUAGAGAAAGAAAGCAGAAUGUCCUUCACUCUGCAAGUCCCAUCUUGAAUCCUGCACGGGCCUGCCUGCCCCGGAGCAGGGACAAGGUGGCAGCCAUCUUACGUUUAAAAAUGUAGUGCAGAGAAAACAGAACAUUACAUAUGACCGUAUCUGAACCAUGUCAUAAGGAGCAUAGCAGAGAUACAGCGAUUUACACGUAGGCAGUGAAGUCGACGUAGAAGACAGAUGUAUGCAGUGGACCACAACAAAAGAAAACACAAACCAAUGCCUAAAAAAUUAGAACAGUGUAUAUAUAUCACAUCAUCUAUAUGUCUGUAGAGUAAUAUCUGAUA